GGACGAACGCUGGCGGCGUGCUUAACACAUGCAAGUCGAGCGGUAAGGCCCUUUCGGGGGUACACGAGCGGCGAACGGGUGAGUAACACGUGGGUGACCUGCCCUCAGCUCUGGGAUAAGCCUGGGAAACCGGGUCUAAUACCGGAUAUGACUCCAUGACGCAUGUUGUGGGGUGGAAAGCCUUGUGCGGCUGAGGAUGGGCCCGCGGCCUAUCAGCUUGUUGGUGGGGUGANGGCCUACCAAGGCGACGACGGGUAGCCGGCCUGAGAGGGCGACCGGCCACACUGGGACUGAGACACGGCCCAGACUCCUACGGGAGGCAGCAGUGGGGAAUCUUGCGCAAUGGGCGAAAGCCUGACGCAGCGACGCCGCGUGAGGGAUGACGGCCUCGG
rnacentral:rRNA from 1 species